rnacentral:rRNA from 1 species
GACGAACGCUGGCGGCGUGCUUAACACAUGCAAGUCGAACGGAGUGGCGAACGGGUGAGUAACACGUGGGUGAUCUGCCUUGCACUUCGGGAUAAGCUUGGGAAACUGGGUUUAAUACCGGAUAGUGCAAGAUGAGCUCGCGGCCAAUCAGCUUGUUGGUGGGGUGAUGGGCUACCAAGGCGUCGGCGGGUCGCCGGCCUGAGAGGGUGUACGGCGACAUUGGGACUGAGAUACGGCGCAGAGUCGUACGGUGGGCAGCAGUGGGGAAUAUUGCACAAUGGGCGGAAGCCUGAUGCAGCGACGCCGCGUGGGGUAUGAAGGCCUUCGGGUUGUAAACGCCUUGCGACAGGGACGCGGUACCUGGAUAAGAAGCACCGGCUAACUACGUGCCAGCAGCCGCGGUAAUAC